GACAGAGGUCCCGAGCGUUAGGCGGAAUCACUGGGCUUAAAGCGUGUGUAGGCGGAUUUGUAAGUACCUUGUGAAAUCCCACGGCUUAACCGUGGAACUGCUUGGUAUACUGCGAAUCUUGGGCCAUCUAGGGGCGAGUGGAACAAACGGUGGAGCGGUGAAAUGCGUAGAUAUCGUUUGGAACGCCAAUGGUGAAAACAACUCGCUGGGGAUGUGCCGACGCUGAGACACGAAAGCCAGGGGAGCGAACGGG
rnacentral:rRNA from 1 species